rnacentral:rRNA from 1 species
UACCAGCACCCCGAGUGGUCGGGACGAUUAUUGGGCCUAAAGCAUCCGUAGCCGGUCCUGCAAGUCUUCCGUUAAAUCCAGCUGCUCAACAGAUGGGCUGCGGGGAUACUACAUGGCUAGGAGGCGGGAGAGGCAAGCGGUACUUUAUGGGUAGGGGUAAAAUCCGUUGAUCCAUAGAAGACCACCAGUGGCGAAGGCGGCUUGCCAGAACGCGCUCGACGGUGAGGGAUG